rnacentral:sRNA from 1 species
CCGGGGCUCUUGAGCUAUAAGUGGCACCUCAGGGCCCUGACGGGCGUCUCGCCAUGCUGCUCCUGGGCCUGCUGCUGCUGCUGCCCCUGCUGGCUGGCGCCCGCCUGCUGUGGAACUGGUGGAAGCUCCGGAGCCUCCACCUCCCGCCUCUUGCCCCGGGCUUCUUGCACCUGCUGCAGCCUGACCUCCCCAUCUAUCUGCUUGGCCUGACUCAGAAAUUCGGGCCCAUCUACAGGCUCCACCUUGGGCUGCAAGGUGAGAGGCUGAUCUCGCUCUGGCCCUCACCAUAGGAGGGGGCGGAGGUGACGGAGAGGGUCCUCUCUCCGCUGACGCUGCUUUGGCUGUCUCCCAGAUGUGGUGGUGCUGAACUCCAAGAGGACCAUUGAGGAAGCCAUGGUCAAAAAGUGGGCAGACUUUGCUGGCAGACCUGAGCCACUUACCUCCCCCAACUCCUCCUGCAGACAAGCUGGUGUCUAAGAACUACCCGGACCUGUCCUUGGGAGACUACUCCCUGCUCUGGAAAGCCCACAAGAAGCUCACCCGCUCAGCCCUGCUGCUGGGCAUCCGUGACUCCAUGGAGCCAGUGGUGGAGCAGCUGACCCAGGAGUUCUGCGAGCGCAUGAGAGCCCAGCCCGGCACCCCUGUGGCCAUUGAGGAGGAAUUCUCUCUCCUUACCUGCAGCAUCAUCUGUUACCUCACCUUCGGAGACAAGAUCAAGGAGGACAACUUAAUGCCUGCCUAUUACAAAUGUAUCCAGGAGGUGUUAAAAACCUGGAGCCACUGGUCCAUCCAAAUUGUGGACGUGAUUCCCUUUCUCAGGUUCUUCCCCAAUCCAGGUCUCCGGAGGCUGAAGCAGGCCAUAGAGAAGAGGGACCACAUCGUGGAGAAGCAGCUGAGGCAGCACAAGGCGAGCCUGGUGGCAGGCCAGUGGAGGGACAUGAUGGACUACAUGCUCCAAGGGGUGGCGCAGCCGAGCAUGGAAGAGGGCUCUGGACAGCUCCUGGAAGGGCACGUGCACAUGGCUGCAGUGGACCUCCUGAUCGGUGGCACUGAGACCACAGCAAACACCCUCUCCUGGGCCGUGGUUUUUUUGCUUCACCACCCUGAGAUUCAGCAGCGACUGCAGGAGGAGCUAGACCACGAACUGGGCCCUGGUGCCUCCAGCUCCCGGGUCCCCUACAAGGACCGUGCACGGCUGCCCUUGCUCAAUGCCACCAUCGCCGAGGUGCUGCGCCUGCGGCCCGUUGUGCCCUUAGCCUUGCCCCACCGCACCACACGGCCCAGCAGCAUCUCCGGCUACGACAUCCCUGAGGGCACAGUCAUCAUUCCGAACCUCCAAGGCGCCCACCUGGAUGAGACGGUCUGGGAGAGGCCACAUGAGUUCUGGCCUGAUCGCUUCCUGGAGCCAGGCAAGAACUCCAGAGCUCUGGCCUUCGGCUGCGGUGCCCGCGUGUGCCUGGGCGAGCCGCUGGCGCGCCUGGAGCUCUUCGUGGUGCUGACCCGACUGCUGCAGGCCUUCACGCUGCUGCCCUCCGGGGACGCCCUGCCCUCCCUGCAGCCCCUGCCCCACUGCAGUGUCAUCCUCAAGAUGCAGCCUUUCCAAGUGCGGCUGCAGCCCCGGGGGAUGGGGGCCCACAGCCCGGGCCAGAGCCAGUGAUGGGGCAGGACCGAUGCCAGCCGGGUACCUCAGUUUCUCCUUUAUUGCUCCC